rnacentral:rRNA from 1 species
UGCGUAGGCGGAUUUAUAAGUCAGUGGUGAAAUCCUACAGCUUAACUGUAGAACUGCCAUUGAUACUGUAGAUCUUGAGUACGGUUGAGGUGGGCGGAAUGUGUCAUGUAGCGGUGAAAUGCUUAGAUAUGACACAGAACACUAAUUGCGAAGGCAGCUCGCUAAACCGUAACUGACGCUGAGGCACGAAAGCGUGGGGAGCGAACAGGAUUAGAUACCCUGGUAGUCC